AUUCUGCCCAAGCGGGGAAGGAUGAGAAGCUUCGACCAAGGUUCGACUUGAGCGCCAGCGAGAGAGCGUUGCCGCAGG
rnacentral:sRNA from 2 species